UACAUGCAUCAGCUGGAGCAGAGGCUGGAAGUGGCUACAGACAAUAAGAGGAAGGAAGUGGCUCUCUACUACUCAACCAGUGAAUAUUAUCAAUACCACAGAGGCUUAUGUACAGACCCAAAGCCAGGUACUCACAGUAUAAAUUACAGUCAUAUACAGUAUAGUACAGACGUCGUCACAUUCUUGGAUGCUCAUAAACUCAUAUUUAAAGAGACACCCUGUCUUCCUUUGCAUCUCGUGGCGAUGACUCCUAAUAUGACAAAUCGUCUGAGGAUGAGAAACCCUCUUCAGAGGAUGAGAAGCCUACGUCUCCACUACACUACCAGACACCCAGACUACCCUACUGGAAUGACGCCCUGGAACGCUCCUCUCACCGGAGUGUCGAGUGUCCCCAGACAGAGACAGAUGAGGAGGGGCACAAGACCAGUAAGGGUGAAGACCAGACCACAACAACCCAAUCAUAAGCUGACCAUUCUGGCCUUCUGCCAAACCCUCCACUAUCUCCCCGCGUAACUAAGCAGUUUAUUUUCCGACUGUACAUACACAGUGCUGACUGCUGUUAAAACCGCCCUGUUCCUUUCCUCUUCAUGUGUGAGAAUAUGUAAAGCACUGCAGCAGCGCCCCUGAAUUAAAGAACAGCGGGAAUAAGAGCAUCUAUAAAAUUAUAAUGAUUUUCCUCCCCCAAAAAAUGAUUUGAGUGUUAUAGAGGUAAUGCAUCAGCUGGAGUAGGCCAGCGGGAGUAGAGCAGAGCCACAUAGGGAGGGAUGGGAGUAGGGGGAAAUAAAGACCAGUGCUGGAAGCAGUGUGGGGAUGAUCCAUCACUAGUCACACACAGUGUUCAGUAUUCACCACAGCAUUACUCAUUCUCCCGCUCUCUCUCUCUCCAACCAUUAUUAACUACUAUGCCCAUUCUCUCUCGCUUGCAUCCAUCCACAGAGCCUCAACCAAAUGUCUCACCAUCUCCCUCUUUCAUUGUGAGCUUGCUGACUGCUCCCCCUUGUGGUAAAAAAAUAGAGGACAAGUUGAUUGAAUAUCCUACAAACAGUGAUGGGCAACUUUGAAGGGGGCCACAAAAAAUCUGUACUCAUCAUGAGGGGCAGCAGUGGCUCGUGGGUCUGCAUACCCACAUAUGCAGUCAGAGCCAGCCCUAGCCUUUUGGGGACACUAAGAAAAAUAUUGCCAGGGGCAAUUCUACACAUUUUGCCAUUGGGUAGAGAGAACUGUUUGCCGUUUUGAAUAUGAUAUUGAAGUGAAAGUGACUAACAAAAUCAAUGGGGCCCCCCCCGGUCGGUAAUUGGAUCAUUACUACAAGUUUAGAUAGCCGGCUAGUUGAAAGCAAUCUGUCCAUUACACUAUUUUUAUCUUGGUAUACAUUUUAUCUAGGUGCUAUAAACUAGCCCGAUACAUUUGGGAGUAGGCUGUAAAGAUGUGUGUAGAGUUGUAAAAGUGUGCACAAGAGUGAUAGAAUGAACAAGUUCCCUCUUUGGUUUACUUUCAGAGUGCUUCACACUGUGUGGAUGAGUUUUUGCAAUAAAACACUGUCUGUUUA